UCCUUUCUCAGGAUGGAAAAGCAGAA
rnacentral:piRNA from 1 species